rnacentral:rRNA from 1 species
GACGAACGCUGGCGGCGUGCUUAACACAUGCAAGUCGAGCGGAAAGGCUCCUUCGGGGGUACACGAGCGGCGAACGGGUGAGUAACACGUGGGUGAUCUGCCUCGUACUUCGGGAUAAGCCUGGGAAACUGGGUCUAAUACCGGAUAUGACCUUCGGAUGCAUGUCUGAGGGUGGAAAGAUUUAUCGGUACGAGAUGGGCCCGCGGCCUAUCAGCUUGUUGGUGGGGUAAUGGCCUACCAAGGCGACGACGGGUAGCCGGCCUGAGAGGGCGACCGGCCACACUGGGACGGAGACACGGCCCAUACUCCUACGGGAGGCAGCAGUGGGGAAUAUUGCACAAUGGGCGAAAGCCUGAUGCAGCGACGCCGCGUGAGGGAUGACGGCCUUCGGGUUGUAAUCUCUUUCAGCAGGGAAGAAGCGAAAGUGACGGUACCUGCAGAAGAAGCACCGGCUAACUACGUGCCAGCAGCCGCGGUAAGAC